rnacentral:rRNA from 1 species
CGCAAGCCUGACGGAGCAAGACCGCGUGCGGGAUGACGGCCUAAUGGUUGUAAACCGCUUUUCUCUGGGAAGAUGAUGACGGUACCAGAGGAAUCAGCCUCGGCUAACUCCGUGCCAGCAGCCGCGGUAAUACGGAGGAGGCAAGCGUUAUCCGGAAUUAUUGGGCGUAAAGCGUCCGUAGGUGGUUAUUCAAGUCUGCUGUCAAAGCGUGGGGCUUAACUCCAUAGAGGCAGUGGAAACUGGACGACUUGAGUGCGGUAGGGGUCGAGGGAAUUCCCAGUGUAGCGGUGAAAUGCGUAGAUAUUGGGAAGAACACCAGUGGCGAAAGCGCUCGACUGGGCCUGCACUGACACUGAGGGACGAAAGCUAGGGGAGCG